rnacentral:tRNA from 1 species
GGGUGUAUAGCUCAGUGGUAGAGCGCUGUCCUGAUAAGACAGAGGUCGCAAGUUCGAUCCUUGCUACACCCACAA